AUCCUCUCUUAACUUUCUCUGACUACCUCCAAUCUCUCAUCCUUCUCCUCAAACUGUGUUUCAAGGCAAAUUUCUCAGAGAUUGAGACAGUUUCAAUAUCUGAGCAAGCAAUCUUAAUCUCAAGUGUUUUGUGUAUAUUUAAGUGAUCCUAAAGCCUCCACUGUUUCACUGAUGUGUAAUUAUCUGAGAAAUUGAAAAGAAAUGUAAAGAAAAGAAAAUGGAAAUUCUAUUUCUGUUUUUACUUAGAAUGGUCAGAACACAGCAGGUAUCCAAGGAAAUGCUGAGUGGCCAACCUGAACAGUCUUUCAUAGAAAAUGUGGCCUUAGUAUAUUAGUACUUCUUUUAAGAAAUAUGAUGGAAUAUCUUUGGCCACAGACAUUUAAUGUUUCCUUUGGUCUUUUCACCUAAAGUCAAACCAGUUGCUAUGGUUUUGAAAUUGCUACUGAAAAUGUUUUUCACAUGCCCUUCCAACAUUGAAGACCCAGAUUACAAGCUAAAAUUCAAGCAAUUGAUUGGUACCUUUCUCAGAAGAGUAUGGGAACGUUUGAUACAUAUGUGCAUUAAAU
rnacentral:lncRNA from 1 species